rnacentral:rRNA from 1 species
UACGAGGGGGGCGAGCGUUGUUCGGAAUUAUUGGGCGUAAAGGGUGCGUAGGCGGUUUGGUAAGUCUGAUGUGAAAUCUAUGGGCUCAACUCAUAGUCUGCAUCGGAAACUGCCGGGCUUGAGUAUGGGAGAGGUGAGUGGAAUUCCUGGUGUAGCGGUGAAAUGCGUAGAUAUCGGAAAGAACACCAACGGCGAAAGCACUCUGCUGGGCCGACACUGACACUGAGAGACGAAAGCUAGGGGAGCGAAUGGG